AUGAAUGAAGGAACAAACGAAUGAAGGAACGAAGGAAAGAUAAGGAACUGAGGCAAACAGAGUUAAAUGAUUUGUCCAGCAUCCCACGGCUAGGAAAUGUCUAAGACUGGAACUGAAUUCAUGAAGAGGUCGGCUACAUUUCUUUUCCUCUCUGGAGAGAGCCAGUUUCAUGUAGCCAUAUAAAAUUAUCACAGACUCAGAUUUGGAAGUGACCUCAGAUAAUCUGGGUUCUUUUGUUUUCCUCGUCCAUCCUGAGCAACAUAACACAAAAAGCAGUCACCGGAUCGUUCCCUGAAGACCUCCAA
rnacentral:lncRNA from 1 species